UACCAGCUCCCCGAGUGGUCGGGACGUUUAUUGGGCCUAAAGCAUCCGUAGCCGGUUCUACAAGUCUUCCGUUAAAUCCACCUGCUUAACAGAUGGGCUGCGGAAGAUACUAUAGAGCUAGGAGGCGGGAGAGGCAAGCGGUACUCGAUGGGUAGGGGUAAAAUCCGUUGAUCCAUUGAAGACCACCAGUGGCGAAGGCGGCUUGCCAGAACGCGCUCGACGGUGAGGGAUGAAAGCUGGGGGAGCAAACCGG
rnacentral:rRNA from 1 species